AUUAAAAAACAAACAAACAGAAAAAAAAAAUCAACAAAACAGCUGCUGCUCAUCCUGCUCUCUUUCUACUUUCUUGUGCUUUGCCCCUCCCCUUUCCCGGGUGAUUGGCUUUGGGUGCUGGGUGGGGCCAAAUGGUAUAUGAGCCCCAGGCAUGCCUUCAGAGAGCUCAUUCUGCCUGGGCUGCUGUUUGGGG